rnacentral:rRNA from 1 species
ACGGGAGGCAGCAGUGGGGGAUAUUGCACAAUGGGGGAAACCCUGAUGCAGCGACGCCGCGUGAGUGAAGAAGUAUUUCGGUAUGUAAAGCUCUAUCAGCAGGGAAGAAAAUGACGGUACCUGACUAAGAAGCUCCGGCUAAAUACGUGCCAGCAGCCGCGGUAAUACGUAGGGGGCAAGCGUUAUCCGGAUUUACUGGGUGUAAAGGGUGCGUAGACGGCUUUGCAAGUCUGAAGUGAAAGCCCGGGGCUCAACCCCGGAACUGCUUUGGAAGCUGUAGAGCUAGAGUGCAGGAGAGGUAAGUGGAAUUCCUAGUGUAGCGGUGAAAUGCGUAGAUAUUAGGAGGAACACCAGUGGCGAAGGCGGCUUACUGGACUGUAACUGACGUUGAGGCUCGAAGGCGUGGGGAGCAAACAGGAUUAGAUACCCUAGUA